rnacentral:lncRNA from 1 species
AUUUAUUGAUGUUCGUACUUAAAUUUAAUUUAACUCAAUGAUUUGACUUUAUUUUUAGAGAAUUCAAUAUAAAUUGGAGUUCCAUGUAUAAAUUGUGCAUCUUAAAUUUCCAUUCAUUUUCAUUUACUAUAACAUUUCUAAGGUAGAAGCCGUUCACACAUGACAUUCGUUGAACCCAUAACCUAGUGGCUCAAUCCCCGUACUAGGAAUUUGUUCAUUUUUAUUAAAUUUGUCGGAACUGGAAAGAAAACAUAAGAUUUACAAUUUGUAUGCCGCCUUCCCACUUUCGAAGGAAGAACAUAAAUACAUGUUUACGAAGUUUCAAGCUUGUAGUAGAGUAAAUUUCACGUGUAUUCCAGGAAAUACUGAAGUUUUUAGAAGAUUAAAAAUUGCAUCAUAUCUGUCUGAUAGUUUAUGGUUGAACUAGGUGAAGUUCGAAACUAAUUUUAUAUUAUUUAAUUAUGACAGUUUUGUUGGUCUCGACUACUAUAGUACCUAUAUAUCAGUGAUGAGAGGAUAACUGAAUUUUCAAAUCAUUCCUUAUGCUGAUCAUGCUCUCCCUUUACUCCUUGAUUUAGGAUCAAACAGUUGCAGACUGUCGUGGAGACACUAAUGAGGACCCCGCCAAUCCAAUGAAUUUUCACAACUUGAAUUCAGUGAGUGAUAACCUUAAUACCAUGUAGUAAAUCAUCCAACAUUUAUAUUUUAUUGCUUUUAUAUUGUUCUCGUUAAAUUUACAUCAAAAGCAUAACAUCAGUCAAUAAGAUUAUUUUUAAUCAGCUUUCGUUGAGAAGCCAAGAAGGGCCUCAGCAUCUUGUGCUUCCUCCAAAAUUCUCUUCGGCUGAAACCAAUUAUCUCCCCGAUCUUAAUGUAAGUUAAAUUCUUUCACAUAGCAAUAAGUGGUAAGAAUAUUGUGAUAUUAAUCUCUUCAUUCAUAAACAAAACAUUAUUAGAUCGAAGUUUCAGCUCCAUAAAAUAUCAAAAUAAUUAGCCCUUGUUUGAGCCCCAUUUUUGGAGAAAGAAUGCAUUUUGAAUAGUAGAUUGAUAGAAAAUAUGUGGUUAAAAAUUAAGGAAAAAUUUUGGAUUUGCAUGUAAUAUUAUUUUAUUGAAAAAUGUGUGAUUGAAAAUGAAUUUCGAAAAAAAUGAAUUUUAGAAAAAUGGGGCUCAAACGGGGUUUAACAAUUUUUCUAGGAUGAUUUGUUUUGAUUUAAUGCUUCGGGCGCUCACAUGAGAACUAAUAACCUGAAAUUUCUUAAUUAUGCAUUAUCAACAUUUUUCUCUAUGCAGGCUUCUUGAGUCUGCACAACCCCCUCCCCUUAUAAGGAAAAAUAAAAGGGAUUGCUUUUCAUUUUGCUUAUCUUAUCUUACAAGUGCAAGCUAAAUAGUUUCAAGCUGUUGAUCUUUUGAUUUUUAUUUUUCUUGCAGGAGUGAAAAGAGUACUUUAUGGAAUAUUGAUGAAGUACAACAUUGAAAGGAGAAAAUAAUUCGGCUUCGAACUUUUCUUUGUUUAAUUAAUUUAGUAAUUAGAACAACAAUGUUUUCCCUUUUCAUGGGACGAAUUAAGUAAUUCGAUAUGUUAUUUUCUAAUAUUUGAA